rfam:Ornithorhynchus anatinus chromosome 3, whole genome shotgun sequence.
CCCUUCUCAGGGUCGCACCUGGAGAGUUUCCAGGACUCUACCAGUCUUGCUAAGGGAGGGAGAUUCAAGCAGAGGCCUAAUCUUUCCAUUCCUAGCUUGGCCAGUGGCUAGGGAGUGGAAGGCAAUCUGCUGCAAGU